GAGUAGUUGCGAAAAAUCUGAAUAUUCACAAUAAAUUCUCAAAAAUGGCCGCCUUAUAUUUGAUAUGAUUCCAACUGUAGCUGAUAACAUUAAAUAUUAUCUUAAAUACAUACAACUUGAAAUAAAACAAACACAGAAGAAGAAGGACUAUAUAUGCUACAAAGGGCAUGAAUAUUUGACCCAUAAAAGUGGAAAAAAGGCCGUUUACCUUACUUGUCGCAAAAAAUGUGGUGGUAGAGCCAAAUUAAUGAUUGGCCUCGAUUUAAUUAUCACCACUCAACAUUCUUUAGAAUGUCAAAACUUAGUAGCUGCUCAAACUUCUAAUGCUAAUCAUGCCCCUCAAACUUCUAUUUCUGAUGCCAUAACUCAUCAAAAUAUUAUUUCAAAUCAAG